rnacentral:rRNA from 1 species
UACGUAGGGGGCAAGCGUUGUCCGGAUUUAUUGGGCGUAAAGAGCGUGUAGGCGGCCAGGUAGGUCUGCUGUGAAAACUCGAGGCUUAACCUCGAGAUGUCGGCGGAAACCAUCUGGCUAGAGUCCGGAAGAGGAGAGUGGAAUUCCUGGUGUAGCGGUGAAAUGCGCAGAUAUCAGGAAGAACACCGAUGGCGAAGGCAGCUCUCUGGGACGGUACUGACGCUGAGACGCGAAAGCGUGGGGAGCGAACAGG